rnacentral:rRNA from 1 species
GACAAGAAAUAACAAUACAGGGCAUAUGUCUUGUAAUUGGAAUGAUGCCGACUUAAACCCUCGGCAGAGUACCAAUUGGAGGGCAAGUCUGGUGCCAGCAGCCGCGGUAAUUCCAGCUCCAAUAGCGUAUAUUAAACUUGUUGCAGUUAAAAAGCUCGUAGUUGAAUUUGAGCUUGCGCGAUUCCGUUAUUGGAGUAUUGCGCUUGCUUUUUUGUUACUUUGAGAAAAUUAGAGUGUUUCAAGCAGACUUUUGUCUUGAAUACUUCAGCAUGGAAUAAUAGAGUAGGACCUUGGUUCUAUUUUGUUGGUUUUUGAGCCUUGGUAAUGGUUAAUAGGAACGGUUGGGGGCAUUCGUAUUUAA